GGCUGGCUAGUAUCUAUGCACAGAGGGCCAUUUAGCUGACACUCUCAGCCAAUGAAUAAGCAGCAAGAUUGUCUUCUGCAGCUCUUCAGAACGGUGCACACAUACUAAUGCAGUUCAGCCUCCACCGUAGGACCAUCAGCACUCAGUGGGACUAGGUAAGAGGGCAAACUGUUGUACAAUGGGAACAUUACCAGGCUGUAGUGGUUAUGAUGGCU